rnacentral:lncRNA from 1 species
UUUAUCGCCACAUCUUGUAGACAACAGAUAAAAGUCGAUCAGAAAGCUAAAAUGACAGAUGGUUCAUUAUCUUUAGAUGAUUUUAAUGAUUUUACUAUCUCACUACCUCUCGAAUUAUUUACUAAGUCAAAGGCUAGGUCUGAUAGAUUAUUGGCAUCGCAUUUAAAAGGAAGAAAGAUAGACGCUGAGCGAAAAAAAUUGAUGAUAGGUCAAGAAAAGAUAAAAGCUCACCCCUUUAUUAAAGAAGUCAAUGAAUCACCUUCUGGCACAUCAAACUCAAAUGUUGAUCAAGCUCCACAUGAACCAUAUCGAAUGGACUUCGGCA